CCUACGGGAGGCAGCAGUGAGGAAUAUUGGUCAAUGGGCGGAAGCCUGAACCAGCCAAGUCGCGUGAGGGAAUAAGGCCCUACGGGUCGUAAACCUCUUUUGCCGGGGAGCAAGGGCGGGGACGUGUCCCGGCCCGGAGAGUACCCGGAGAAAAAGCAUCGGCUAACUCCGUGCCAGCAGCCACGGUAUUACGGGGGAUGCGAGGGUGUUCCGGGUUCAUUGGGUUUAAAGGGUGCGUAGGCGGGCUAUUAGGUGAGCGGUAAAAAUUCGGGGCUCAACCCCGUACGGCCGUUGAAACUGGGGGCCUUGAGUGGGCGAGAGGUAGGCGGAAUGCGUGGUGUAGCGGUGAAAUGCAUAGAUAUCACGCAGAACCCCGAUUGCGAAGGCAGCCUUCCGGCGCCCUACUGACGCUGAGGCACGAAAGUGCGGGGAUCGAACAGGAUUAGAUACCCCUGUAGUC
rnacentral:rRNA from 1 species